AAGUCGUAACAAGGUUUCCGUAGGUGAACCUGCGGAAGGAUCAUUACCGAGUGGCUGUAUUCGCGGUUUCCUUUGGGAGACGCGAAGCUACCCGACCUGAUGUCAUUCUAUCCGAGGGCGCGUCCGCUUGAGACAGCGGUUCAGACGUUGGAGUUACCCGGACGAGACGCUUGUCUCGAAAGGGGAAGCUCCGGGUCGGGCCGUGGCGCGCUUCUCGGCACAAAUUUCCGCGGAAGAGGUAGGCGUUGACCUGCCCGCCGCGGGCCGUACUUUUCACAACUCUUGAAGAAAACCUGAAGUCUGAACACAAAACAAAAAUGAAAAGCAAAACUUUCAACAACGGAUCUCUUGGCUCUG
rnacentral:misc_RNA from 1 species